AAGUGAGUCAUCGAAUCUUUGAACGCACAUUGCGCCCGCCAGUAUUCUGGCGGGCAUGCCUGUUCGAGCGUCAUUUCAACCCUCAAGCCCCCGGGCUUGGUGUUGGGGACCGGCCCCCCGCCCUCCGGCGGGGGCCGCCCCCGAAAAUCAGUGGCGGUCUCGCUGUAGCUUCCCCUGCGUAGUAGCACACCUCGCUCUGGAACGCGGCGCGGCCAUGCCGUGAAACCCCCCACUUCUGAAGGUUGACCUCGGAUCAGGUAGGAAUACCCGCUGAACUUAAGCAUAUCAAUAAGCGGAGGA
rnacentral:misc_RNA from 1 species